rnacentral:rRNA from 1 species
GACGAACGCUGGCGGCGUGCUAAACACAUGCCAGUCGAACGGUAAGGCACUUCGGGGUACACGAGUGGCGAACGGGAGAGUAACACGUGGGUGACCUGCCUCUAGCUCUGGGAUAAGCCUGGGAAACUGGGUCUAAUACCGGAUAUGCACAUCGGACUGCAUGGUCUGGGGUGGAAAGGUUCUGCGGUUAGGGAUGGGCCCGCGGCCUAUCAGCUUGUUGGUGGGGUGAUGGCCUACCAAGGAGACGACGGGUAGCCGGCCUGAGAGGGCGACCGGCCACACUGGGACUGAGCCACGGCCCAGACUCCUACGGGAGGCAGCAGUGGGGAAUAUUGCGCAAUGGGCGGAAGCCUGGCGCAGCGACGCCGCGUGGAGGAUGACGGCCUUCGGGUUGUAAACCUCUUUCGACCUCGACGAAGACCGUGACAUUAGUCUUGGUUGACGGUAGGGGUGGAAGAAGCACCGGCCAACUACGUGCCAGCCGCCGCCGUAA